rnacentral:lncRNA from 1 species
AAACAAACAAUCUCAAGUGAACAAACGAGAAUACAUAUUAGCAAUAAAGCUACGCAAAAAAAAAAAAUAAAUAAAAAAUUAAAGGUAUGUCUUCCAACCCAGGGGACGGGCCGACUACAAAGAAGAAAGCAGCUGCUGUUGUGGCAGCUGGAAUAGGUCUUGCUCCAUUAACAUCGGGUAUUGCUGCAUUAGCAUGGGGAUCAGUCUCGGCCGAACCAGAGCCGCAAGAUGACAGGAAGAAGAUGAAGGCACCAGGAAGGAAUGGCGAACUCAUCUACAAGGAUGAUUUCCAGCGUGACCCAAGUGGCUAUUUCCGUCAGCUUCGCGUUGACAAAAAGAGCAAAAAAUAAAUCAGGGCUCACAACUAUUACAUAUUAUGAUCAUGGAAUUGUUGCAGUGUGAUUUGAUGUUUUCGGGAUCUACUGGUUGUGUAAUUUCCCGUUUCCUAGUUGCUAAUGGUAUUCUGCAUAUUUGUGUUUGCUAGAGUAUGUUCAAUACAUAUGUAAGAUCAGAGGCAUGCGUGUUCUCUGAUAUAUAUAUACACACACACAUAUAAUGGAUAUAAAAUAUAAUGGAAUUCUGUCGAUGUUACAGAAUUUCUUGGCUUGAAGGAGCUGUUUUCCCAGGAACAUGUUCACGAACUGCAAAUCAAUGGUUUUUAGUUCAAGGAUCAAUUUCCUUAAUUUUCAAAUUCUGUAGUCCUAUUAUGAAGUGGCAAUACAAUCAUGAUCUUUGUCUUUCAAAUUUUAUGUUAAUCCAAGUCACAAGUAACUAAAUUCUGUGUGAACAUUUAUUAUGUGUUUAAAGAUAGAUAACGAAAGGCAAAGUCUUUCAUGGUGGCCAUCAAUCAUUUGACAGUUAUGGUAACGCUUGCACCUUAAGUUUUCCCCGGUGACCCACACGCUUUAAACACAUCCUUUUAAUUUGACGGUGGUUCAGUUUCCAUGGACUGCAGUCCACCGACCAACCCAGCUGCCACUACUAUAUAAUAAACAAACAACCUCAAGUGAACAAACGAGAAUACACAUUAGUAACAAAACUACAUUAAAAAAAAUUGAAGGUAUGUCUUCCAACCCAGGGGAGGGGUCUAAUACAAAGAAGAAAGCAGCUACUGCUGUGGCAGCUGGAAUAGGUCUUGCUGCAUUAGCAUUGGGUAUUGCUGCAUUAGCAUGGGGAUCAGUUUCGGACGAACCAGAGCCGCAAGAUGACAGGAAGAAGAUGAAGGCACCAGGAAGGGAUGGCGUACUCAUCUACAGGGAUGAUUUCGAGGGUAACCCAAAAGACUAUUUCCGACGGUAUCGCGAUGACAAAAGGAGCAAAAAAUAAAUAGGGGCUCGCAACUCUUACAUGUCAUGAUCAUGGAAUUGUUGCAGCUGUAGUGUGAUUUGAUGUUUUCGGGAUCUACUGGUUGUGUAAUUUCCCAUUUCCUAGUUGCUAAUGAUAUUCUGCAUAUUUGUGUUUGCUAGAGUUUGUUCAAUGCAUAUGUAAGAUCAGAGGCUUGCGUGUUCUCUGAUAUAUAUAUAUAUAUAUAUAUAUAUAUAUAUAUAUAUAUACGUAUAAUGGAAAUAAAAUAUCUUAGCAGCUUGUGUUUUAAGUUAA